rnacentral:rRNA from 1 species
AAUAGAUACCCGGGUAGUCCUGGCCCUAAACGGUGCGUGUUUGCCGUAGGAGGAAUCGACCCCUUCUGUGGCGAAGCUAACGCGUUAAACACGCCGCCUGGGGAGUACGGUCGCAAGGUUGAAACUCAAAGGAAUUGACGGGGGCCCGCACAAGCGGUGGAGCAUGUGGAUUAAUACGCCACUAACCGUAGAACCUUACCCAGGCUUGACAUCUGUAGAAGGCCUCUGAAAGGAGGCGGUGCCCCGCAAGGGGAGCUACAAGACAGGUGUUGCAUGGCUGUCGUCAGCUCGUGUCGUGAGAUGUUGGGUUAAGUCCCGCAACGAGCGCAACCCUUGUCUUUAGUUGCUACGCAAGAGCACUCUAGAGAGACUGCCGGUGACAAACCGGAGGAAGGUGGGGAUGACGUCAAGUCCUCAUGGCCCUUAUGCUUAGGGCUACACACGUGCUACAAUGGCCGGUACAAAACGGUCGCGAUCCCGUAAGGGGGAGCUAAUCGCAAAAACCGGUCUCAGUUCGGAUUGGAGUCUGCAACUCGACUCCAUGAAGUUGG